rnacentral:rRNA from 1 species
CCAACAAUGGACAACCUUUAAAGACCAUUUGCUACUGUGUCCCUUUUACAUAAUGUACUUCAUUAUGGAUACUAAUGUUAUGCCAGUUGAAAAUUUUUGCUAAUCUAAGAAAUUGGGAGCAUGAUUACAUUUCAUAAGCGACUAACAAAGUGCCAGCAGUCGCGGUCACACUUUAGCUUAAAGUAAAAAUUUGUAGAAUGCUAUAAAUAAAAAAGAAAUUUUUGUGGUGAAAUAUAAAAAUUUAUUAAUAUCUUUAUAGUUUAGAAGAAACAUAAAAACUGACCUCAAACAGGGAUUAGAUACCCCUUUAUGCAGUGAGCAAUAAAUAGUUCAUUCUAGGCAGUAAAAUUUUCAGAAUUCAAACCCAAAUAGCAUGGCGGUAGUUAAUAUAUUUAGGGGAACUUACUAAUUUAAUGAUAACCACCAAGAUCAUAUACGGCACUUAAUAUUUUACAUACCGUCGUCGUCAGAUAUACUAUAAUAGGAUAUCACAACAUGCUCAAUAAAAAGACAGAUCAAGGUGUAGACUAUGAUGCCGGUUUAGCGAGUUACUAUAACAAUUUUAUUCAUUCAGCGGUUUUAAGACCACCACACCUGUAGGACUUAAAAGUAAUAUUUAUUAUGUAUAUUAUAUGAAUACCUUUUAACUGUGC